GCAGCCUCCUGGCAUCAUACUGACACUGAGGCUCGAAAGCGUGGGUAGCAAACAGGAUUAGAUACCCUGGUAGUCCACGCCGUAAACGAUGUCUACUAGUCGUUGGGUCCCUUGAGGACUUAGUGACGCAGCUAACGCAAUAAGUAGACCGCCUGGGGAGUACGGCCGCAAGGUUAAAACUCAAAUGAAUUGACGGGGGCCCGCACAAGCGGUGGAGCAUGUGGUUUAAUUCGAUGCAACGCGAAGAACCUUACCUGGUCUUGACAUAUCUAGAAUCCUGCAGAGAUGCGGGAGUGCCUUCGGGAAUUAGAAUACAGGUGCUGCAUGGCUGUCGUCAGCUCGUGUCGUGAGAUGUUGGGUUAAGUCCCGCAACGAGCGCAACCCUUGUCCUUAGUUACCAGCGGGUUAAGCCGGGAACUCUAAGGAUACUGCCAGUGACAAACUGGAGGAAGGCGGGGACGACGUCAAGUCAUCAUGGCCCUUACGACCAGGGCUACACACGUGCUACAAUGGUCGGUACAAAGGGUUGCUACCUAGCGAUAGGAUGCUAAUCUCAAAAAGCCGAUCGUAGUCCGGAUUGGAGUCUGCAACUCGACUCCAUGAAGUCGGAAUCGCUAGUAAUCGUGAAUCAGAAUGUCACGGUGAAUACGUUCCCGGGCCUUGUACACACCGCCCGUCACACCAUGGGAGUUUGUUGCACCAGAAGUAGGUAGUCUAACCGCAAGGAGGACGCUUACCACGGUGUGGCCGAUGACUGGGGUGAAGUCGUAACAAGGUAGCCGUAGGGGAACCUGCGGCUG
rnacentral:rRNA from 1 species